UGAGGAAUAUUGGACAAUGGCCGGAAGGUUGAUCCAGCCAUGCCGCGUGCGGGAUGACGGCCCUACGGGUUGUAAACCGCUUUUGUACGGGAAGAAACCUCCCCUCGUGAGGGGAGCUGACGGUACCGUAAGAAUAAGGACCGGCUAACUCCGUGCCAGCAGCCGCGGUAAUACGGAGGGUCCGAGCGUUAUCCGGAAUCAUUGGGUUUAAAGGGUCCGCAGGCGGGCCGAUAAGUCAGGGGUGAAAGGCCACGGCUCAACCGUGGGACUGCCCUUGAUACUGUCGGUCUUGAGUCAUGGUGAGGUUGCCGGAACAUGUGGUGUAGCGGUGAAAUGCAUAGAUAUCACAUAGAACACCGAUCGCGAAGGCAGGUGGCCAACCAUGUACUGACGCUGAUGGACGAAAGCGUGGGGAGCGAACGGGAUUAGAUACCCCCGUAGUCC
rnacentral:rRNA from 1 species